GAUGAACGCUAGCUACAGGCUUAACACAUGCAAGUCGAGGGGUAACGAGAGGAAAGCUUGCUUUCCUUGUCGACGACCGGCGCACGGGUGAGUAACGCGUAUCCAACCUGCCCCCAACUAGGGAAUAACCUUGCGAAAGUAAGACUAAUACCCUAUAAUUUCCUCAGAUGUCAUCUGACGAGGAAUAAAGAUUUAUCGGUUGUGGAUGGGGAUGGGUCUGAUUAGCUUGUUGGCGGGGUAACGGCCCACCAAGGCAACGAUCAGUAGGGGUUCUGAGAGGAAGGUCCCCCACAUUGGAACUGAGACACGGUCCAAACUCCUACGGGAGGCAGCAGUGAGGAAUAUUGGUCAAUGGGCGGAAGCCUGAACCAGCCAAGUAGCGUGCAGGAUGACGGCCCUAUGGGUUGUAAACUGCUUUUAUACAGGAAUAAAGUUAGCCACGUGUGGUUAUUUGUAGGUACUGUAUGAAUAAGGACCGGCUAAUUCCGUGCCAGCAGCCGCAGUAA
rnacentral:rRNA from 1 species